GUAGGUGGCAAGCGUUGUCCGGAAUUAUUGGGCGUAAAGCGCGCGCAGGCGGUUCUUUAAGUCUGAUGUGAAAGCCCACGGCUCAACCGUGGAGGGUCAUUGGAAACUGGAGAACUUGAGUACAGAAGAGGAAAGCGGAAUUCCACGUGUAGCGGUGAAAUGCGUAGAGAUGUGGAGGAACACCAGUGGCGAAGGCGGCUUUCUGGUCUGUAACUGACGCUGAGGCGCGAAAGCGUGGGGAGCAAACGGGGGAUUAGAUACCCUGGUAGUCCACGCCGUAAACGAUGAGUGCUAAGUGUUAGGGGGUUUCCCGCCCCUUAGUGCUGCAGCUAACGCAUUAAGCACUCCGCCUGGGGAUACGGCCGCAAGGCUG
rnacentral:rRNA from 1 species